rnacentral:rRNA from 1 species
GAUGAACGCUGGCGGCGUGCCUAAUACAUGCAAGUCGAGCGAACAGACGAGGAGCUUGCUCCUCUGACGUUAGCGGCGGACGGGUGAGUAACACGUGGAUAACCUACCUAUAAGACUGGGAUAACUUCGGGAAACCGGAGCUAAUACCGGAUAAUAUAUUGAACCGCAUGGUUCAAUAGUGAAAGACGGUUUUGCUGUCACUUAUAGAUGGAUCCGCGCCGCAUUAGCUAGUUGGUAAGGUAACGGCUUACCAAGGCAACGAUGCGUAGCCGACCUGAGAGGGUGAUCGGCCACACUGGAACUGAGACACGGUCCAGACUCCUACGGGAGGCAGCAGUAGGGAAUCUUCCGCAAUGGGCGAAAGCUUGACGGAGCAACGCCGCGUGAGUGAUGAAGGUCUUCGGAUCGUAAAACUCUGUUAUUCGGGAAGAACAAAUGUGUAAGUAACUAUGCACGUCUUGACGGUACCUAAUCAGAAAGCCACGGCUAACUACGUG